UACGAAGGGGGCUAGCGUUGCUCGGAAUCACUGGGCGUAAAGGGUGCGUAGGCGGGUUUUUAAGUCAGGGGUGAAAUCCUGGAGCUCAACUCCAGAACUGCUUUUGAUACUGAAGAUCUUGAGUUCGGGAGAGGUGAGUGGAACUGCGAGUGUAGAGGUGAAAUUCGUAGAUAUUCGCAAGAACACCAGUGGCGAAGGCGGCUCACUGGCCCGAUACUGACGCUGAGGCACGAAAGCGUGGGGAGCAAACAGG
rnacentral:rRNA from 1 species